UUAGUCUCACCCACCCCAAAAUCUAAUCAAACCCAACCGCCCCAAAAUAACUCUCACCGGCCGGCGGCAUGCUCCAAACCACCCCAAAAUUCAACCAUGCAAUCCUUACACAUCCUUCUUCCUAAAUUCAUCAGUAUCUUUCCCUAAACCCAGCCAAAUUUUCCCAAUUUUGGAUCUAAAAUUGAAAAAUGCAAGCCCUAAUUUCCCUAUAUUCUCUUAUUUUUUCAAAUUUCGACUCGUUCUAACUCGGAUCUUACAUUAAUAGAUUACUCUCAACGGGAGUAAUCGAUUUAUGAUAGUUUUGAGUGAUUACCAGGAUGUCAGAUUUGACUGAUUUACCGACUCUGGAAAAACUUCGGCUCCUUUCAUCGUUCGUUGAGUCAUCUCAAUUUGUCAGUUCAUUCCGGCAAGAAUUGGUACAUUUCCCUUCGUUUCUCUCUUGACUUUGUUUCUUGCACCAUUUUUCUGUUUUUUAUAUUAUCAUGCUUACAUUUGUUUCGUAAUUUUGUUUUCUUUAUUAGUUGAUUAAUCUUAGUUUGUUUUGUUUUCAAUUUUUUAAUAGCAUAAGUUAGGGUUAAUCGUCAAAACAUCUAAUUUCGAAUUGUUUUAUUUUUUUCUACUUUUUAUAAUCACUGAAGUUGAUUUUGGUUUGAUCAUUUUGGCUGAUUGGGCUUUUGGUCAUCUCUGACUCGGUUUAAAGAGGUCUAUUCAUUUGGGUUGGGUCUUGGGUCAAAUUCGACCCAUGUGUGAUUCAUUUCGGAUGUAAAUCCAGGGGUGUCUAGGAAUGUUUUAGGUAUUUGAGGACUUGGGGGAAUAUUUUUUGUUGUGGGAAGCUUCUAGAUGAUAAGGUUGGGUUGGUUUAUUAAGAGAUAAGGGAGGUUUCAGAUAUUUUAGAAGGGUUUAGGGAUAAAAUGACCAAGAAAUUAAGGGGUAGAAGGGGAAUUAGCUAAUCAGGCUAGUGCUGCUUUAGAAAUGCCUCUAUAAGGACUCUUUACUUCCAAUUUGAGGUAGAUAUUGGAACCUAUAGAAAAUAUACAAAACAUUAUACAUUGUGUGAGAGAGUUCAAUGGGUUUUCACUUUUGAUUUUCCUUCAUGUAAAAAGAACAAACACACUCUGAAGCUUCAUUUUCUAGAUAUCUGAUUCCAAAAUGGGUUUGAGCUGAAGUUGUUUGCUCGAUGAUUAGUUGCUGCUUCUUUGCUUUCUUGCUUCACAGAAUUUCAAUGUUUUUCUCAUCAUUUUGCUCUUGCUCUCUAGGUAUUCUUUUGGGCUUUGAUGACUCCUGUAGCACAUACGUACUUAGAUAUAUGAAAUUGUAAUGGGAACUUCCAUGAAUGAAUCAAGGAUUUUUGGUUUCCUCCUAUAUGUGUUUUAUUGAAUCUCUAUGUCUAUUUUCGUUUAUUGUCUUUUAAUUUACUAUGAUCAUUGUGUGAUGUGCUGAAUGGAAAAUGAUUUAGGAAAAAAUUCGUAUGUUAGGAUCUAGAUGUUAAUGUCUAGAUUUUCAUAUUAGUAGAUAGCUUUUGUGGUUGCUUUCACAUUUAGGAUUGUUAAUUUGAAUGUCAUGUUAAUGUUGGCUGUUGAAAUUACAUAGUUUAAUAAUCUAAUUUUAGCAAUGUUAGAGUAUUUUGUUGGUGCAAGAAUUAGUGUGUUUUAAAAGAGUAUCUUUGGAUCCAUGUUGAUCUUACUAUUGUUUGUAAGCAGAAUUAAAAAUUUAAAUGCGUAAUAUGGUGAUGCUCGUUCUUGUCUUAUGUUUUUCUUAAAAUCCUUUAAGGGAUUACGCUAAUUUGGGCAGCCUGGAAAUAGGCCUUUCAUGCAGGUUUCCGCCCCUUGUCACUCCUUUGGACCAACUUUGAGCCUUAUUAUAUCCAUCAGAUUUUAGCUCAUCAGUUUUGUAAUUAAUAUAGUAAAAGGAGUUUCUUUAAGUAUUGUAUGGCCCUUCUCAUUUUAAUGCUGGGUUUGGAAUCUAGCACAGCCCUUUCUUGUGCUCUUUUUUUCAAAAAACAUUAAAUUAUAUUGGGCCUAUCGCUGGUCUAAACCAUUUCAAGUGAUUAAAAUGCCUGGUUUUAUCCAAUAUGAGAUUAUAAUUAGUAGGGGUAAUUUGAACCUUGAUUUAUAGUAUAUCCAUGCAUCUUGAACCCUUUUUUUAAUUAAGUAUUUUCCCCUACCAAUGAAUUGAGGUGUGCCAUUUAAUUAAAUCACCCAUGACCCUCAUAAAUGUUAUAAUUUAGAUAUUUAAAAAUAAACUUCGUAGUUUACUUUAGAUGCAUUAAUUAUAUAAUUAUCACGGCUACUAUUAAAAUUUGGGUGUACAUUUCAUGUGAUCCGGUUCUAAUUUCCAACAAGGUUAAAUAGGACGUGUUGUGUGUCAAGGAUGUAUUUCAUGUAGCGUGGCUUGCGUUUUUUUAAAUAACCUUGAAAUAGUUCCUUAAAUAAGUAAAACCGGUUUUAAAAUUAAAAAUGCACAUAGGUUUUAAAAUAUUGUAAAAUAAAAUAAUUAGGCCAAUAAAAAUUGUUGAGCGACCGUGCUAGAACCACAGAAUCCGGGAAUGGCUAACACUUUCUUCCGGGUUAACAGAACUCCUUACCCAGAUUUCCGUGUUCGCGGUCUAUAUAAUAGAGUCAAUCUUUCCUCGAUUUGGGAUUUAAACCGGUGAGUUCGGACACAAUAAAUUAUCCCAAGUGCUGACUCCGAAUAAGUAAAAACAAUCAUGUUUCGAUUGUCACUUAAAUUAGAUAAACUCCCUUAUACCCUUUCGGGGAUAGGAAAAAGGAGAUGUGACAGUAACUCCAUCGCAUGUGCACUUCGCGAGCGGGGAAAAUCUCUUCAAAAGCUUCACGUUGAAUUGUCCUAAUUUUGAAAGGAAUCAAGAAAAAGGAUUUUGAUUUUUUAAUAAUUUACAUUUAAUUGUGUCGCAUGUAUGAUUCGCGAGCGGGGUAUUUCCUUCUACUACUCCUAUGAAAUCAGGUCGUCCACUUCGGCAGGAUUUAUGUACCACAUUUUCAUGGGAGCAGGCCGUUCACCUCGGUAGGUUAAUAGAUGCAUCUAUGGUUCGCGCGUUCGAUCUCGGCAAUGCACAAACCGGCCAUUCACCUCGGUAGGUUAUUCUUAUGGAAUUUGUAAUAUUUGGCUAGAAAAUGGUGUAUCUUAGCGUUUUUCCCUGAUUUGAUUUAUGACAAACUCUUGAUGAUAUCCACUAUAUCUUUAUAUAUGCUCUGGAUAUGGAGGGAACUUGCUAGUUGAGAGCUUGAGAAAAGAAGUGUAAAGAAGGAAAUUGUACCACGUAUUUAAUACAUGUUUAUCUCAUAUAUUUACUCUGUGUCAUAUUUAUUCAUUUCUCUACUGUAUUUGAUAUUAUUGGACCACUAUUAAGUGUCGAAAUCGACCUCUCGUCACUACUUCUUCGAGGUUAGACGGGAUACUUACUGUGUAUGCAUUUCUUUGUUACUCAUACUACACUUGUUGUGCUUUUUUGUUGCAUAGGCACACGUAUGCCUAGUGGCCUCGUUGGGCGCAACAGUAUGGUGGAUAUAGUGACUUUGGUGAGUUGCAUCUCUCGAGAUGACCCUCAACCAGCCGAGUCUCCUUUAGAGUAUUGUAUUUUCAUUUCUGUCCAAUUUGUAUCCCGAACAAUUAUUGUAUUACAUAUUAAAUUCCUAAAAAAUUCCUCAUGAACUUGUGACACCGGGUUCUGGGGUGGAUAUGAACCUUAUAUUUAAGUCCAGUAACCGAAUUCUAAGACUAGCUAGAUGAUGAACCUCAGGGGUUAUUCUCCUCUUUUCUGGCUGUAAAUAUGACACGCUACCAUAGAUUUAUGGCUGAGGGCAUCGGUUACUCUUUUUGCCUUCCCCGGAUGGUAUAAAGUAUCAAUGUCAUAGUUUUUAAGUAGCUCCAACAUCUCUUAUGACAUUAAUUUAAUUCCUUUGUUUUUUUAGGAUAUACUAGAGGAUCUUAUGAUCCAUAUAGAUAUCAACACGAAUGCCAUAUAAGUAGUGCCUCCACAUCUUUAGUGCAUUAAUCAUCGUGGCUAACUCUAAAUCAUGGGUCGGGUAGUUCUUCUCGUGCAUUAUUAGUUAUCCAGAAGCAUAAGUUACAAACUUACCAUGAUGCAUCAUCACACAACCUAAUCGAACGCCUGAAGCGUCACAAUAGAUAACAUAACCAUCGGUCCCUUCUGGGAAUGGUAGAACU
rnacentral:lncRNA from 1 species